rnacentral:rRNA from 1 species
CCUACGGGUGGCAGCAGUGGGGAAUAUUGCACAAUGGGGGAAACCCUGAUCCAGCGACGCCGCGUGAGUGAAGAAGUAUUUCGUUAUGUAAAGCUCUAUCAGCAGGGAAGAAAAUGACGGUACUUGAGUAGUAAGCCCCGGCUAACUACGUGCCAGCAGCCGCGGUAAUACGUCGGGGGCAAGCGUUAUCCGGAUGUACUGGGUGUAAGGGGAGCGUAGACGGCAGUGCAAGUCUGGAGUGAAAGGCGGGGGCCCAACCCCCGGACUGCUCUGGAAACUGUACGGCUGGAGUGCAGGAGAGGUAAGUGGAAUUCCUAGGGUAGCGGUGAAAUGCGUAGAUAUUAGGAGGAACACCAGUGGCGAAGGCGGCUUACUGGACUGUAACUGACGUUGAGGCUCGAAAGCGUGGGGAGCAAACAGGAUUAGAUACCCCAGUAGUC